UACCGUCAUUUGAUCAAACUAUCAGAUUUAGCUCUAGGAGCCGUAGUUUGUUUGUAUCGCCACAGUUUGUGGGCGGUGGAUACCCAGAAUAGUGUAGAAUAAUUUUACGCUCAUGAUGAAAUGCCGAGUUUAUUUUUACAGUAUUGUUCAGACUGUUCCGGAUUGUUGGGUGCCGUUGGGGUUGACGGUGGACCCAGAUUACUGUUUUUGCAUUAGAUUGUGCCG
rnacentral:lncRNA from 1 species